UGCCCCUAUAAGCCACUUUCUGGACCGCUCUAGAACACUCCUGGCUACUAUUGAUGCCCUUACUACUCUCACAAUCUUUCUCUGACCCUUCUUGAGAUGCAUAUGGUCUCUCUUAGAUGCUCACAGUCUCUCUAAGGCACUCUCGAUCUCCACAGACCGUCAGACCUCCUUUAUUAAGCCAAAAUUUACUCCAGACUAGAAUCACAACCCUGAUCAAAAUUCAGAAAUAUUCUGACCAUCUAAUCACUUUCGCAUGCUUCUUUGAACCAUUCGAUCAUGCUCCUGCCCACCAGAUCACAUCCACUCACCACCAGAACCAUCGGAUCAUGCCUGCAUUGCUUUUUGCGCCAUU
rnacentral:lncRNA from 1 species